UUUAUUGGAGAGUUUGAUCCUGGCUCAGGAUGAACGCUGGCGGCGUGCCUAAUACAUGCAAGUCGAGCGAAUGGAUUAAGAGCUUGCUCUUAUGAAGUUAGCGGCGGACGGGUGAGUAACACGUGGGUAACCUGCCCAUAAGACUGGGAUAACUCCGGGAAACCGGGGCUAAUACCGGAUAACAUUUUGAA
rnacentral:rRNA from 2 species